GCUGCCCCAGGUAGUGGUGGCAACGCGCUAGGGUCACUUUUGAGAUCAAGAAAGCUUUGUUCUUUUGCUGUUUAUAAUAAAACCUGUUGCUGCUCGCUCUUUUGGGUUCUGACUGCGUUUAUGAGCUGUAACACUUACCACAAAGGUGUGUAGGUUCACUCCUGAAGCCUGUGAGACCACGAAUCCACCGGGAGGAACGAACAACUCCAGAUGUGGUGCCUUAAGAGCUAUAACACUCACUGUGAAGGUCUGCAGCUUUGCUCCUGAGCUAGCUAGACCACGAACCCACCAGCAGGAAAAAACUCCGAACACAUUUGAGCAUCAGAAGGAACAAACUCUGGACACGCCGCCUUUAAGAACUGUGAUAUUCACUGCGACAGUCCGCGGCUUCAUUCUUGAAGUCAGACCAAGAACCCACCAAUUCCGGACAUAGGAAUACUAGCAGGGACUUUCUGGACAUUCGGCUCGGAGUUGGUUAGUUGUUCAGGAUGGUUCAAAGGUGUAAACUGUGAUCCUCUUCCUUGAGUGAGAUGGAAAAAAAUUAAUUUGCCGCAUCAGUGUCCAUAUCUCAGACUGAAGCUGAGAGGCUUUUUUCCCAGUCAUCUUGACCACAAGAUCAGUUCUCUCCGUGAACAUAAAGACAAAAUCGCUGUGACACCAACAGACAGAUUUUUUAACAAGUGGAAUCCAUGUCUCAUGUAAACAAUGUGCUACUGCCUGCCAUUGAGUUCUCUUCCCUCGUUUUCCUUUUUGAAGACUUAACCCCUUUCCCAAAGGGACAUGUGCUCAGGUUUCUUGACUCCACAGCAAUCCCUUCUGUUGUGUAAGGCAAACUGAUCACCUUUCACAACGAGACAAGAAGUGAUUUAAAUCAGAUGGUGACCCAAUGACAAUGUCUGUGCUGUGUCCUAUGGAGAAAACCAAAGCUGAAAUCCAGUAACAGGUGAUAGGAAGAUGUGGAGAUAGAAACUGACCUGAAUUCUGAAAAACAACAAGAGAAAAGGAAGUCUGAGAACAAGCUGGUGUUCUUCCAAAACCUGUUCAUUGUGUGAAUUCCUAGAAGAUAGCGUGACACCGAGAAACAGGCUGGAGUGACACACCCAAACAAUUAUGCUACCUGGAUCUGCCAAGGCAGGAGGACAAACUCAGCAGCCUGGAGAAUGGAGGACACAGUCCAGAGUUGCAACAACAGCAGCAAUUACUUUUGACCACUCACUAUCGGAAAACACUGCUUUAGGCUGUGGAAAUGCAGUAGUAGAAAAGCCAGGCAUAAUCCUUAUCCCCAUGGAGGCACUAUCUCCAUCCAAGGGCAGAGGACCUGCAAGCCCUGAGGUCUCCAGCUGAGGUUCCUCUCUGAAGGACAGUUGCACUUCAGGUCAUGCUGCAGUAUGAGAGAAGGCAGCGUGACAUCUUGAGUUUCUAAUGCUCACACCUGUCUCAGUGAAGCAUUUUUACAGAGUAAUCACCACCCCCCUCACACCCCCAACAAUGUCAUCAAGUCAUAAAUCUCCUUGGUUUGAAAUAUUGGAUUAAAAUAUGAUUAAACAAUAUGUCUCAAUGGAAAGUUAAGAUAUGUGUGCAUUCUCUAUCCUCAAACAAUCCUGGAAUGCCCCCCCCCCCACUUUAUGAUUUUUUAUGAUUUGCCUAUCAGAAAUCUAUGCUAAAACUCUUAAAGAGUUUAGUUCUUAGAUUUGUAAGAGUAAGAGCAUGUAAGAAAUUAUUCUUUGACAGUUCUCAUUGCUAGCAACAAAGUUUUUAGGUUCCAAAGAGGUAUUUACUUAGAAACUAAAUAGUGUGAACCAUUAGCGCAGAAGAUGGUGCAGUAGAACAAAUGGGGAUGAGGUAUGAGGAGAGCCAAAUGCUAAUCCUGGUGUGUCACUGAUGUGACUUGGACACUGCCACCCCUCUGGACCUCUGCUUCCUCUUAGGGAAGAAGUGCUCUGUGGGGGUUCUCUGAGGUUACUCCUACAGUUCAUGUUCUAUGAGCCUGGAAAGAGCAAAAAUGUCUCAUAUAUACUACGUAAUGUUGUCUAAGUGGUACAUAGCAGAU
rnacentral:lncRNA from 10 species